rnacentral:rRNA from 1 species
GUCCACGCCCUAAAACGAUGGCAACUGGGUGUUGGGGGAGCGAUUCCUCAGUACCGUAGCUAACGCGUGAAGUUGCCCGCCUGGGGAGUACGGCCGCAAGGUUAAAACUCAAAGGAAUUGACGGGGACCCGCACAAGCGGUGGAUGAUGUGGAUUAAUUCGAUGCAACGCGAACAACCUUACCUACCCUUGACAUGUCCGGAACCCCAUUGAGAGGUGGGGGUGCCCGAAAGGGAAUCGGAACACAGGUGCUGCAUGGCUGUCGU